rnacentral:rRNA from 1 species
UACGAAGGGGGCUAGCGUUGCUCGGAAUUACUGGGCGUAAAGCGCACGUAGGCGGCUUUCUAAGUCGGGGGUGAAAUCCUGGAGCUCAACUCCAGAACUGCCUUCGAUACUGGAGAGCUUGAGUCCGGGAGAGGUGAGUGGAACUGCGAGUGUAGAGGUGAAAUUCGUAGAUAUUCGCAAGAACACCAGUGGCGAAGGCGGCUCACUGGCCCGGUACUGACGCUGAGGUGCGAAAGCGUGGGGAGCAAACAGG